rnacentral:rRNA from 1 species
GACGAACGCUGGCGGCGUGCUUAACACAUGCAAGUCGAACGGAAAGGCCCUGCUUUUGUGGGGUGCUCGAGUGGCGAACGGGUGUGUAACACGUGAGUAACCUGCCCUUGACUUUGGGAUAACUUCAGGAAACUGGGGCUAAUACCGGAUAGGAGCUCCUGCUGCAUGGUGGGGGUUGGAAAGUUUCGGCGGUUGGGGAUGGACGCGCGGCUUAUCAGCUUGUUGGUGGGGUAGGGGUUGACCAAGGCUUUGACGGGUAGCCGGCCUGAGAGGGUUACCGGCCACAUUGGGACUGAGAUACGGCCCAGACUCCUACGGGCGGCAGCAGUGGGGAAUAUUGCACAAUGGGCGGAAGCCUGAUGCAGCAACGCCGCGUGCGGGAUGACGGCCUUCGGGUUGUAAACCGCUUUCGCCUGUGACGAAGCGUGAGUGACGGUAAUGGGUAAAGAAGCAACGGCUAACUACGUG